CUUGUCAGUCAUUGGCAAACUUGCGGGGGACCGGGGGUGGGGCAGGGCUCGCAGCAGGGGGCCCACUGCUCCCUUUCACACUACUUCUGGGUGAUCAGAAGAUUGGAGGGGUGCUUUAGCUCUCUCCCCGCGAGCCGCCACCCCGUACCCGCCACGGAGAAGCUGCCGUCCCGGCGGAGCUGUGCAUGAUAAGAGGGUCUCGGGAGAUCUUUGCGCUCUCGGGACGUAACCGCGGCUGCCUGAUCUGCAGCGAUCUCUGAAGGUGGGGAGACUCGCCUCCGGCCCUGUUGGGAGCCACACAAAGACAACAAGAUGGCCACAGUUCAUGAGGUUCCUGCUUCACUUCUUGGAGAUUAGCUACGAGCCCGCGCGCGCCAACAAGGAAGCCCGCGCGCGCCAAGAGAUACUCUUCUCCCCCUCCUUCCCUAUUGUCAUAUACCAAUCAGAAUGUAACUCGCUGCGCCACCCCUGCUAUGCAGCCAAUCCCCUGCCUCCAAGUAUCCUAUGGCCCACUCUGCCCCUGAACACUGGUGUAUAUCUACCCCCGUCCUACAAUAAAAUUUGAAGGCUUGAUCAGAA